UACAGAGGUCCCAAGCGUUGCUCGGAAUCACUGGGCGUAAAGCGCACGUAGGCGGACUCUUAAGUCGGUGGUGAAAUCCUGGAGCUCAACUCCAGAACUGCCUUCGAUACUGAGAGUCUCGAGUCCGGGAGAGGUGAGUGGAACUGCGAGUGUAGAGGUGAAAUUCGUAGAUAUUCGCAAGAACACCAGUGGCGAAGGCGGCUCACUGGCCCGGUACUGACGCUGAGGUGCGAAAGCGUGGGGAGCAAACAGG
rnacentral:rRNA from 1 species